UCCAUGGUUGCUCGGUAGCUGUGGCUGAAUCAGUAUACGGCUAUUGCAAUAGCCUCAUACUGAUUCAGCCAGAGCUACCGAGCAACCGUGGAACGCAGA